UGUCCUCUCUGCAAAAGCUUAGUGCAUAGAAGGUGUUCAAACACCAAAACCUGUUGAAAAAAAACAGGUUCAAUUUAAAUAUUUAUAUUAUAAAUCAACUCAUAACCAAUAAAUAUAAAUCGAAAUACGCAAUCACGUGCAUAUGUUACUACAUGUUAUCGUCGACCGACAAAUAUCGAUUAACAUACAGUUGCAUCCACACACAGAAGAAUUUCUUCUUAAAAAUAGGUAUGUAUAGUCAUUUUGCAGUAUCAACAUUUUAGGUUCGUGGAUCUAACACAUAUGUUUAAAAUCGUAUCAGAAAUUUUCAAUGGCUACCUAUGAAUCGUGUGAAAGAUGCAGUUUAGCUUCAGUAUAACAAAGAAUAGAGCAAUUCAACCUAAAAACAUAAAAAACAUAGAAUAGAAUCUAAUUAUUUAACUUAAGUGGAACCUAAUAUUUAAAGAUCUAGAAUCUCAUUAAAAAAAUAAAAAAUAAAUGAUAACUUUGAUACAGAGAAUGCCUUUUAACCUAAAAACCUAUUAUUCGGCACAAGGCUUACAAUUAGCACAAGCAAAACAAAUAUGCAAAAAGGAAAUUGAAGAUCUUAUCACCUGAUUUAUGGAAUAUUCAAAUCAAUUAAGUUAACAAAUCGAAUCAGCAAAUAGAAAAGAAGAACAAACCCAAUUAAUUAGGAACCCUUCAAAGAAGAAGCCUUUUUCUUAUGCUAUUGGAGCAUCUUAAACUGAUGCAAAAAUUAAGUUUACCGGUGACGGUGGCGGCGGUGAGCGGUGGGCGGUGGUGGACGGCGGUGUGGCGGUGGGCGGCUGUUAGCAACGGAGUCGCAGUGAGAAGUGGGAGGAACAGGGGGAGAAGCGGUGGGGGAAUCGGACGGCGGAGAUGAUGCGGGCGGCGUAAUGGUGGCUGAUGGUGUUGGACUUGGUGCUCCCGCCACCGGCGUGGGCGGCGCCGCCACUGGUGCUGCUGUUGGAGCAGGCUUUGGGCGUGGCUGAUGGAGCUUGAGACAAAUCAGAUCCAACUACCAAUGGCCGCCAUUGUUGAAAUUUUUCAAGUUUUUUUUCUUUCUGGAAUUUGUAC
rnacentral:lncRNA from 1 species